rnacentral:rRNA from 1 species
UUGGGCUGGGGCGGCACAUCUGUUAGACGAUAAGUGUAGGUGGCCUGAAGGUGAACUCAACGGGCACAGACCUCCC